CUUAGACAUUUAAAUGCAUGAGGGAACGGCACUUAAAGGUUCAUCAAUCUUUCCUGUCUGUAUUACUUCUAAAAUGCUGCCUCAAUGCUGCAAUGGCAGGAAAGCAAUGUCUUGUGAUUUCUUUUCAGUCUCGUUCACCAGAGCAAUAUAUCCAGCACCAGCAGAAUGUCUAUUUUGUACCUCAUCUGUUUCCUGGGCAAAGCAUUAAAUGAGGAUGAAUCGAUUUAGCCAAGGUCAAAAGCCAAAGAAUACAUCCAAUGAGGCUUUGAUUCUCAAUUUACGGAUGCUACAAAAUGAUGUGGAAACUUUGGAGAAUUGAAGGGUGGCAGGAAUCAAUCCAAAUGGAAAGAAGCUGCAAGUGAACAACUUAACGGGGACCUUAAUGAAGUACAUAAGUAUC